UUCUGGGUGACAAAGAAAAAGAUUGGCUUCAGAGUGAAGAGAGGAACUUCAGUGUUACUCUUCGAAAAGGCAAAUGGUCUAAAUACAAGCCAGUGUGUGUUACCAAUGACUCAAACUAUAUCAUACUGGAGUUGCCGACCAAAGUCUGCAAGUGGUUUUAUUCCAGACCCCUUCGCCUUUCAAUGCAGAUGUGGCCUAUAACUGUUAAUGAAAGAAAUGGGUUGAGUACUUCACAGCGGAGUUGCACCAAAGCCCAAGGGACUGCCCAGUGCCAGGAGUCCUUACCACAGAAAUUACUAUUUGGCUGGGAUGAAAAGCGUUACACACGCAUUCCGCCCAUCGUUCUCGUGGUACUAAAAAAUAGAAGAUCUACCAAAAAGA